rnacentral:sRNA from 1 species
UCUGAAAUCCAGAAGUGUAAAAUCGAGCGGGAUGAACUUUCUCAAAUCCUGGACCUUUAUGUCAAUGAUGGUUUGAACUACAGGCUGAGUGUUGAAUUGCCAAUGCUUAAAUCCCAACAUGAGAUGA